rnacentral:rRNA from 1 species
GACGAACGCUGGCGGCGUGCUUAACACAUGCAAGUCGAACGAGACGAUUGGAAGCUUGCUUUUAAAAGUCGAGUGGCAAACGGGUGAGUAACGCGUAGACAACCUGCCUUUGAGAUGGGGACAACAGUUCGAAAGGACUGCUAAUACCGAAUGUUGUAUAUUUUCCACAUGGAAGAUAUAUUAAAGAUGGCCUCUAUUUAUAAGCUAUCGCUCAAAGAUGGGUCUGCGUCUGAUUAGCUGGUUGGUGGGGUAACGGCCUACCAAGGCGACGAUCAGUAGCCGGUCUGAGAGGAUGAACGGCCACAUUGGGACUGAGACACGGCCCAGACUCCUACGGGAGGCAGCAGUGGGGAAUCUUCCACAAUGGACGAAAGUCUGAUGGAGCAACGCCGCGUGAGUGAAGAAGGGUUUCGGCUCGUAAAGCUCUGUUGUCGGGGACGAAUGUGCAGUAUUUGAAUAAAGUACUGUAAUGACGGUACCUGACGAGGAAGCCACGGCUAACUACGUGCCAGCCGCCGCAGUAA